UGAGGAAUAUUGGUCAAUGGACGCAAGUCUGAACCAGCCAUGCCGCGUGCAGGAUGAAUGUGCUAUGCAUUGUAAACUGCUUUUGUACGAGGGUAAAAACAGGUACGUGUACUUGGUUGAAAGUAUCGUACGAAUAAGGGUCGGCUAACUCCGUGCCAGCAGCCGCGGUAAUACGGAGGACCCGAGCGUUAUCCGGAUUUAUUGGGUUUAAAGGGUGCGUAGGCGGAUUGGUAAGUUAGAGGUGAAAGCUCAGCGCUUAACGUUGAAACUGCCUCUGAUACUGUCGGUCUAGAGUAUAGUUGCGGAAGGCGGAAUGUGUGGUGUAGCGGUGAAAUGCUUAGAUAUCACACAGAACACCGAUUGCGAAGGCAGCUUUCCAAGCUAUUACUGACGCUGAGGCACGAAAGCGUGGGGAGCGAACA
rnacentral:rRNA from 1 species